rnacentral:lncRNA from 1 species
GAUGGGUUUUCGUGAUUUUUGGAGAAUCUUCAGUGCGGGGAUGCUGAUCUAAAUAGCUUCGCUCCACUAUAAAGAACGAAACUCGAAAACAGAGAAAGGAGGAAUCCUUGAGGCAAAAGGGGCGUAGAGAGAGAGAGAAGGCCGAGAAGAGAGAGAGAGCUCAUCUUCUCCAUGGACUCUUCUCAAAAUACUUAGAAAAAAAUCCCCUCAAAUUGUUCUUCUCAUUCUUUAUUUCCCUUCUACUCGCAGAACCAAUUACUGGCCUCUACUUAUUGACAUAAACACAAAUAUCACCCAUCUCUGUAUUUUCUUCAGCGCGACUCCAAGCAACUCAGGCCAUCUCUGUCACGGAAGAAGCUCUCUCUCUGCUGUCCUUAAUUUCCGAGCGGCAAUCAUAUACAUUGCAGCUUAUCAUCACCGAGACCCAACCUUCAUUGCACAAUUGAUCGGAGCCAAAUCACCAAAGCACGAACCUCACCGGAGAGCCGUCGCACCCGAGAGCACCGCCGCCGGUACCGUUGGUGUGUUUCAGUUCCCCGGAAAAAAUUCAGGGAAAAUUAGGGAUGGCCUGUAGGCGCACUGUGAAUCGUAUUCGGAUCCCGAAAACGAGUAAGGACCCCUCACCCUAUUUCCUAUCACGGUAUUAAAGUUCAAAAUGAUAAAACGGUAUUUCUUGAAUUAACGCAUGUGUGAAAUUGCUUAAGGUUGCUAAUGGAGCCCGAGUCUAGUGUGAUUUAUGAUUUACUGUUAUUUGGCCUGUUUUACAGCUUUAAAUACAU